UUCAUUAUGGCCGGCUAUUUGGAAGGUAUGAGCUUCUUAUUGAAGUUCUUUGCUUCUCUGGGCAUGAUGGCCAUGUGACCUCUAAGAUGCAUUGCUUUGGUGCUCUUCUCACUGGUUCUCUGAUAUUAUAGUUUCAUUAAUUUUGAAUUCAAUUCAAAGUACUGUUGGAAAAUGUAUCUCUCUGCUCCGUCUGCCAUGGGCAUGGCGUCUUCAACACUCCUUGUCAAGCCAAUUGCUCUCACUGGUUCUGCUCCGUCUACCAAACUUUCCCUCUCUCUUUCAAUCUCAAAUCUCUUUCAAUUUCUCGUUUUUCUUCCCUAAUUUUUUACUUUACCACUUCGAUUCGAUAAAUAGUGUUCCAAAUUCAAUUCGUCUGCUUUUACAUUUGAAUCAAUUUUAGUUCGUGUAUUGGUUGCAAAUCCUUUCUUCUUAAGCAGCGAUUGUGUUCUCAAUUCUAGACCCAAGAGACUUAUAAUACAAGACAUAUAUAGGAUAUCUUUUCUCCUUUGAUGAUUGAAGUUUAGCUAAGAGAGGCGAACGGCGGAGUUGUUAAUGGUAGCUAUAUGGGCUUGGGAUUAAGUAAAGUUUCAGGGGAAAUGUGUAUCUUGCUAUAACGCUGCAACUGUACAGAAAGAGGUAAUAUGUCGUCAUGUCAUGGAAGCUGGUUGUAGUUGCUAUGGACGAGUAAGUUUGAAUGUCAGUUAAGAAUCUGUAUUUAGGCUUUGCA